rnacentral:rRNA from 1 species
UCUCGUAGCUUGCUAUGAGAACGGUUAGUGGCAGACGGGUGAGUAAUGCAUAGGAAUCUACCUAGUAGUAUGGGAUAGCCACUAGAAAUGGUGGGUAAUACUGUAUAAUCCCUGCGGGGGAAAGAUUUAUCGCUAUUAGAUGAGCCUAUGUUAGAUUAGCUAGUUGGUAGGGUAAAGGCCUACCAAGGCAGUGAUCUAUAGCUGGUCUGAGAGGAUGAUCAGCCACACUGGAACUGAGAUACGGUCCAGACUCCUACGGGAGACAGCAGUAGGGAAUAUUGGACAAUGGGCGCAAGCCUGAUCCAGCUAUGCCGCGUGAGUGAGGAAGGCCUUAGGGUUGUAAAACUCUUUCAGUGGGGAAGAUAAUGACGGUACCCACAGAAGAAGUCCCGGCAAACUCCGUGCCAGCAGCCGCGGUAAUACGGAGGGGGCAAGCGUUGUUCGGAAUUAUUGGGCGUAAAGGGCAUGUAGGCGGUUCGGUAAGUUAAAGGUGAAAUGCCAGGGCUUAACCCUGGAGCUGCUUUUAAUACUGCCAGACUGGAGUCCGGGAG